GUUGAUUAUAAAAAAUGUUUUACUGUGUUAAAAAAACUUCCACUUAAACAAUGAAAACUUACACGUUGGACAUGAAAUAUUUUGUCGAUGAAGCAAAUUAAAUUAUGUCACUUCUGAAAUAAGUUUGUCGAUAACGUAACUUAUUCUGACGGUAAAGAAACGCGAAUUCGAUCACUACUCUGUUACGGGCUGUACAUAGAUAUAGGAAGAUGUGGUGUGAGUGCCAAUGAGACAACUCUCCAUCCAAAUAACAAUUUACAUGCCUUUUUCUUAAGUCUGUUUGCAUGAUUCUAGUUAUUGAAUCGGUAGAAAAGAUGAACAUGUAGCUAGCAGACCAGGGUUUAUUUGCUUGUGUAAGAAUAUUAGAUGCUUGUUGAAAUUUUGAAUUAUGCACAAAGGGAGGUAGUACUGCAUCAUUGAAUUUUGUCAAUCAGCCAUGCUUUUAUCCUGUGUAACGAUUGCAGAUGAAAAUUCACAUUUUACAACUAGAUGAACACAACACAAGUUCAAAAUCUAGCAUGUUAGAAUAAUCUUUAGAGAAAACAUUUUCGAUUGGUUUAUUAAUUGAUCAUGAGAAACACGGAAAUUGAUUGGCUGAACACGAUUGUCUUAACUUGGGAACAAAAUAAGGAACAGAUGAUUUUCACUAAAUCGUGUUUUAGAGUUUUUUAACGAUACCCUUAAUAUUAGUAUUCUUUAAUAAAUGCAACCUUAGAUUAGCAUACUGAUUCAUUUCCUCAUCUAAUUUACAGAAUUCACUACAUGAAACAUCAUAAUUCUAUAUAUAACACAAUUUAAAAAAUAUACAAAAUGAAAGACUAAAAGUGCUAAGAUAAAUAAAAGUUUUAUAAUAAAAUGUAAACUAGCUAUAAAGAAUCUUACAUAAUAAAAAGGGAAUAUGUACUCCAAAACUGGAAUAUUGAAUUUUCACACAC
rnacentral:lncRNA from 1 species